UUAACUGUCUACUGCGUAUGGAACAGAAAGACAAGCCACAUGCAUUUCAACUAAUGGAUUUUAAGCUUUUAAAUUGGAUUUAUUGGAGGUUCUGUCUACCAAAAAAAAUGAUCAAUUUGAUUUAUUUUUAACAAGAUACACUCUGAUGACUGGUGUGUUGGAUACUGUUCCCACAUGACUCUUUCCUACUGUGCCACCUGCUCGAAUGCAUAGACUGUUUGCAAUUGUGCUGCUCGUGAAUCUUUAUGGUGCUGCCAAAUCUAAUGAGCACAUCUGGAGUGAGCCUACAGUACCAUGAACGCUGCAUGACUGACCUGACAAGCAUUGGGAGCAUACUUUAAAAGACAUUCAGAGAAGACCGACCGGCUUUGUGUCAACUGAUUGACAAUCCUCCACUGCAGAAAACAGAAAACACUUUGAGGAAGCAUAAAUAAUUCACACAGUAUUGCAUCAGUGUUGGUUUCUGGGUGAUUCGUAUUUUUAGAAUCAUUGCAAAAUCACUGACCUCAACUGCAUGUUUGUCACAGUGGACGUACAAAUGUGAAAACAAGUUCUUUACAGUAAAUGGUAUAAAACUGGAUUUUAAUCUGACAAUGGGCGCACAAUUCAACCAAAAUAACCCAGGAAAUAUUGGAAAAGUACAACUUUUUUUUCAUAAGUUCCAAACUUUUUUUUGAAGAACCCAGCUUCAUAAUUUCUGUGGGGAUUCUGUAAUUUCAGAGAUUAUUAUAUAACCAUAAUUCCUAGUAGCGAGACUGCAAUUUGUUUAAGUACAUUUCAGACCUGAUUAGUAUGGUGAUGGUAUGCAUUUUCAUCAUGCUGUCUUGAGUGUUAUUUUGCAGAGGCCCUGUAAUAAUCUGUUUUGCUAAAUUUAACCAGUUCCCAUUUCCCAGUGUUGAAUAGAGAACACGGCCCAUUUAGCAUUUCCUCAAAUUUAUAAUACACUGUAAAUGCUGAGUGAUGUCCUUUGAUCUCCAGAAGCCCGACAUUCAUGGACAGAUUUAUACUAGAAUAUGAUCCUGGGUGACUGGCUGGGGUGGGGGCACACGCUUCCUCUUUACUCGAAGCAUGCAGCAGUGGGGGUUAUAAGUGAUGUCAGAAAAUAGCUUGGGGGAAAAAAGGUGUUUUUGUUCCUCAUAACAUUUUACAGGAACCUUCUGAUAAGGAAGCUUAAGACUGAAAGAUGAACCUUAAUAUGCAUCAUACCCAAAGACUGAAUGCCGUUAGUGAGCACAAGGCGUUCUGUUCGGAUUUUGAAAUGAUUUUAAAUGUGACACCUUUUUAAAUUUCCCAUGUAUAAUUCUCUAUUGCUCUUUCUGCUGAGAUGUGAAUACCAGGCUUACUAACUAAUGUCAUUGUGCUAUUGGGAAGACUCUUAUUGAAAGUGAGUUGGUUUUUAGAAUGGAUUUGCAACUCAUUUAUCAAUCUACUCUUCAGAAACUCAUCUGUUCUGAUGCUGACCUGUGGUUGAAAAUGGAAUUUGCUGGAAUAGUUAAUAGGCAUAGUACUGCUAGGAAUAUAAAUAGUUCAGGAAAUCCUUGAUUAAGUGUCUUUGCCAUAAUUAUGUCCCCAGUUCCUCGUAUGACAGCAAUAACCCGUUUUGUUUCUUUACAGUGUUAACCUUGUGUAGAACAUUGAGCUACUGCUCUAAUGCUAUAGCAAUGUGAGCAUAAGGGCUACCUUGUGGAAAAUCAGUGCCACCUAGUGGCUAUAAAAUCAGCUUCUGCAGUAACAUGAGCUUGAAAGCAAAGGGAAGUUUACGCAUCUGUGCUUUGUACUGCAUAUUGUUCACCACCUCAGUUGUGGAUUUUAUAACCUUGCAAUGCAAACUGUAGUCUUUGCAAGUGUCCACUGCUUUGGACAGACUAACCCUAUUGUGUUAUAGGUGUACAGUGCCUGUAAAUUGCAUUUUAAGUUAUGCAUAAUUUAACUGUUUACAUAAUCUUUCAUGUCACAGAAAGUUGUUGAUACACUGAUGCUAUUAUUAUUA